rnacentral:lncRNA from 1 species
AGUAUCAUAGGCUUGACCUACGUACUGAAGCAAAUCCAGGAACUUAUCUGUGAAUUCAUCAACACUCAUCUCAUCUGUCUGUCUCAAUUGUUCAAAUUCAAUUACUUUCAUCUCCCUCGAACUGUCAGGAAAAGCCCACCCUGCAAACUCAUUGGCGAACUCUCCCCAUGACAUGCUGUCCAUUCUAGGCUCCACAUAAUUCUUAAACCAUUCUCUGGCUUUC